GACGAACGCUGGCGGCGUGCUUUAUACAUGCAAGUCGAACGAUGAAGUUCCUUCGGGAAUGGAUUAGUGGCGAACGGGUGAGGAACACGUGAGAAACCUGCCUUUCAUUCUGGGAUACCACCGGGAAACCGGUGCUAAUACCGGAUACUCCGUCUUGGCGGCAUCGCCGAGCCGGGAAAAAAUUUUGAUGAAAGAUGGUCUCGCGGCCUAUCAGCUAGUUGGUGAGGUAAAGGCUAACCAAGGCGACGACGGGUAGCCGGCCUGAGAGGGCGACCGGCCACACUGGGACUGAGACACGGCCCAGACUCCUACGGGAGGCAGCAGUAGGGAAUAUUGGGCAAUGGGCGCAAGCCUGACCCAGCGACGCCGCGUGAGGGAUGAAGGUCUUCGGAUUGUAAACCUCUUUCAGUAGGGAAGAAGCGAAAGUGACGGUACCUAAAGAAGAAGCACCGGCUAACUAUGUGCCAGCCGCCGCCGUAA
rnacentral:rRNA from 1 species